UGGCUCAGGAUGAACGCUAGCGGCAGGCUUAACACAUGCAAGUCGAGGGGCAGCGGGGAGGAAGCUUGCUUUCUCUGCCGGCGACCGGCGCACGGGUGAGUAACACGUAUGCAACCUGCCCCUGUCAGGGGGACAACCCGCCGAAAGGCGGGCUAAACCCGCGUACAUGCCACCGGGGCAUCCCGGAGGCAGGAAAGGCUUCGGCCGGACAGGGAUGGGCAUGCGGCGCAUUAGGCAGUAGGCGGGGUAACGGCCCACCUAACCGACGAUGCGUAGGGGUUCUGAGAGGAAGGUCCCCCACACUGGUACUGAGACACGGACCAGACUCCUACGGGAGGCAGCAGUGAGGAAUAUUGGUCAAUGGUCGGGAGACUGAACCAGCCAAGCCGCGUGAGGGAUGGAGGUACAGAGUAUCGUAAACCUCUUUUGUCAGGGAACAAAGGCGGGGACGUGUCCCCGGAUGAGUGUACCUGAAGAAAAAGCAUCGGCUAACUCCGUGCCAGCAGCCGCGGUAAUACGGAGGAUGCGAGCGUUAUCCGGAUUUAUUGGGUUUAAAGGGUGCGCAGGCGGUCUGUUAAGUCAGCGGUCAAAGCCCGGGGCUCAACCCCGGCCCGCCGUUGAAACUGGCAGUCUCGAGUUGGAGAGAAGUAUGCGGAAUGCGCGGUGUAGCGGUGAAAUGCAUAGAUAUCGCGCAGAACUCCGAUUGCGAAGGCAGCAUGCCGGCUCCACACUGACGCUGAGGCACGAAAGCGUGGGUAUCGAACAGGAUUAGAUACCCUGGUAGUCCACGCAGUAAACGAUGAAUGCUGGCUGUCCGGGGGGACUGACCCCUGGGUGGCGAAGCGAAAGCGAUAAGCAUUCCACCUGGGGAGUACGCCGGCGACGGUGAAACUCAAAGGAAUUGACGGGGGCCCGCACAAGCGGAGGAACAUGUGGUUUAAUUCGAUGAUACGCGAGGAACCUUACCCGGGCUCAAACGGGGAGUGACUCAGGCAGAGACGCCUGUUUCCCACGGGACACUCCCCGAGGUGCUGCAUGGUUGUCGUCAGCUCGUGCCGUGAGGUGUCGGCUUAAGUGCCAUAACGAGCGCAACCCCCGCGUGCAGUUGCUAACAGUCAACGCUGAGGACUCUGCACGGACUGCCGGCGCAAGCCGCGAGGAAGGCGGGGAUGACGUCAAAUCAGCACGGCCCUUACGUCCGGGGCGACACACGUGUUACAAUGGGUGGUACAGCGGGAAGCCAGGCGGCGACGCCGAGCGGAACCCGAAAUCCACUCUCAGUUCGGAUCGGAGUCUGCAACCCGACUCCGUGAAGCUGGAUUCGCUAGUAAUCGCGCAUCAGCCAUGGCGCGGUGAAUACGUUCCCGGGUCUUGUACACACCGCCCGUCAAGCCAUGGGAGCCGAGGGCGCUUGAAGUGCGUCGCCGCGAGGCGCGCCCUAGAGCGAAAUCGGUGACUGGGGCUAAGUCGUAACAAGGUAGCCG
rnacentral:rRNA from 1 species